rnacentral:lncRNA from 1 species
CCCAUAAAAUUUAAACUUCAAAAUUAAGAAAAUAUAGUGAAAUUGAAGCUAAAGUGUCAAGAAUAGUUGUUGAAUUGUAUUUAUAAGCAAUACUUUAAAAAUACUAGCAACUAAACUUAGCCAAGAUAAUCAACUUUCUGAAAAAAUACAAAAGAAAUUUUAAAAACACUUACAAUAGCCAAGAUACUAAAGAAAAAUUGAAGAGUAUGGACAGCCCAUGCCUUCUCAAAUGGGUCCCUGGUGGCUCCUUUUUGCUGCACGUGUCGGCGUUGGAGCUUGGUUAUGAAGAAAAUAAUUCAAGGUUGGGAUGUUGCUGAAGAGUGGAGUGCCGAAUCGGUUCAUUUUUCAGGCUGGAGUGGUACUCGACUCAAUGCAAGACGUGGAUGGGUUGCUGCUUAUGGUGGUUCAGGGUUGCGGAUGCUGGUUCAGUGUUGUUUGGUGCUCGUGAUUUGAUGUCAAAACAGAAAGGAAAGAAAGGAGACGAUCAAAUGAGGUAAAAAAAAAAAAAGUUUUAAGAAAGAGUGGCA